GAUGGCUUCUGGGUCAUAGAAGGGGGGCUUCCUGAAGCCUCUCUGAAGAUUCAUGGCCCCCACACUCUGGCCCCCAGGGUGCAUCUUCAUGGGGCAGGGGAGACAACUGGAGUGAAACAAAAAGGCUCAAAAAUGCGUUGGAUCCCAACCAGCCAGAGGAUGCGCCAGUGGAAAAUUCCUGCUGUGUGUCAGAGGCCCACCUGGCCCGGGGGACAGCCAGCCAGACGCACAGGCCCCAGAGCGUGUUUAGACAGCGCUUUCCUGCUUCGGCCAGAGCUCACCCUGGCCCUCACCAACGCUCAUCCUGGGAAAGUAGAGUGGGCCAGGCCCUCGCCUAGGCUCGGGAAAGCUUCUGCAGCUCCGUAUCUGGAGCAGGGUCUUGGGGACAGCAGCAUGAACUUUGAUAGAAAAGAUGGGCAGUAGGAGCUCCAGUUCAGCCUCAGAUCUGCCCCGAACCCGUCUCUGGGACGCAGGAGUAACCGUGUCCUCUCUGUGGGCCUCAGGCUCCUCAUCUAUGCAGCACAUGGGGUGGACAAGGACGUCUAAUGAGCCUUCACCAGCCCCACCCUUCUGCUGGUGCAGAGCCACAAUCUCUAAGGGAUCCCACAUCUGCCUCUGGAGAGGCCAAGGCUCCUUUCCUGGGCAGAACCAGGGUGGCAACUCUCAGAAGCUGCCCUCAGAGACUUAAGCUCAGCAUCCGAGGAAGGUGGCCCAGCGGCUGUCUGUAACUGUGGGACCCAUGCCUUUGAGAGUGUUCUCAGCACCCACCGAGGUUCGCCGGUGUGGGGGUGAUGAAUCUGGGAGGAGAAAAAGGUCAAACCUGCCCUUUGCAAAGUGCCUGCUGCCCAGGUUCUGCCCAGAAGCCAGCUGCAGGCAAUGUGAAUGGGAGAAAAAAAAAUGUCUCUCAUGAGAAGAUGGGGGAAAGAACACGAAGAUUUAAAU